CGAGGAACAUGACCUUCGGCGGGGGAUAGCCGGCCCAACGGCCGGGUAAUACCGCGUACGACCACUCGGGGACAUCCCUAGGUGGUGAAAGCAGCAAUGCGCCGAUGGAGUGCCUCGCGGCCUAUCAGCUAGUUGGUGAGGUAACGGCUCACCAAGGCGACGACGGGUAGCUGGUCUGAGAGGAUGGCCAGCCACAUUGGGACUGAGACACGGCCCAGACUCCUACGGGAGCAG
rnacentral:rRNA from 1 species